rnacentral:rRNA from 1 species
AGCGAACGCUGGCGGUAGGCCUAAUACAUGCAAGUCGAACGGUAGCACAGUAAGCGUUUGCCAUUACGGGUGGCGAGUGGCGGAUGGGUGAGGAAUACAUCGGAAUCUACUUUUCCGUGGGGGACAACGUAGGGAAACUUAUGCUAAUACAGCAUACGACCUACGGGUGAAAGCAGGGGAUCUUCGGACCAUGCGAGAUCGAAUGAGUCGAUGUCGGAUUAGCUAGUUGGCGGGGUAAAGGCCCACCAAGGCGACAUACCGUAGCUGGUCUGAGAGGAGGAUCAGCCACACUGGAACGAGAACACGGUCCAAACUCCUACGGAGGGCGGCGGUGGGGAAUAUUGGACAAUGGGGGCAGUCCUGAUCCAGCCAGACCGCGUGGGUGAGGAAGGCCUUCGAGUUGUAAAGCCCUUUUGUUGGGAAAGAAGAUCAGCAGGUUAGAACCCCGCUGUUCUGACGGUACCCAAAGAGUAAGCACCGGCUAACUUCGUG